AUACCCUAACCCUAACCCACCAGACCACAAAAUGAAUAAUUCUGUUGGCCUUUAAUUUCAGUGUCUACUAGAUUGUGAAGUUAUGAACUUCUGAUGUCACAUGAUGCCUACAUUUCCCACUGACAUAAGAAUUAGAUUCAUUUCUAACAUGAAGCGAGAAUGUUUGGUUUUUGUGGCAAAUAGACUCAUAAUUGAUGGCUUGGCUCAUCAUUUAUUGUUGUCAUAAAAAUAGUUGUGGUUGGAGCUAAUAAAUACAGUACAUUCAUUCCGACUGACAUAACAUUACAUAUCAUUGAUCAAGUCUUGCAUUGACCUUUCUCUCAAUGGGAUCCCUUCCUCUUUUGGAAUUGGCCUCCAAGUGACCCUGAAGAUGGCCUUAAACAGUGCACCCAUCUCCAUUAUGGACACCCCCACCUUGCCGUCACUCUGCUGUGUGUUGCCAUUCGGUACCUAAUGGAGCUGGACGGCGGACACUCAAGCUCAGUGCCAACUACGCUAAACAACUCUCUGAAUGCAAAAAUGUCAGGAGACAUCCUGCCUUUCCCCCCCGUUUCAAAAGGUACCCUCAUUCACCCGCAAAGAAUCUGCAGACACCACAGAACUUCAUCCUGUUUGUGUUUUUGACAAGACAAUCUCUAAAAUGUCAUUUACAGUCACCUUUGUGACCAAUGAACUUGAAGUCCAAACAACAAAGAGCAGGAUUAGAAUCUCCAUUCAUUUUUAGUCUUGUGGCAACAUUUCCACACAAAACAAACUAAACAUGCUUUUAUCUACAGUCAUUUAGCUGCAGGAAGGAGAUAAAACACCAGAUAGAAACGUAUUGUUUUGCAAUAAUCUACAUGACGAACACUAACAGAGUCUGUCUGUUAUUAUAAAGUCUGACAAACAUUGUCCCGUUAUUUUAGUUUUGGUACCCUAGACAGUAACAUUUGUACAGAUACGGGGAUGCUAGCUAGCGCUAACACAGCAUCCAAGGUGUCAUUCAAGACGUCUAAAGCAGGUGGCCUUGUGUUUCCAUAGCCCAGUGAUUGGCAAAAUGUAACAUGAGAAACGUGAGAGGCUCUCCUGAGUGGUUGUAAAAAAAUUUAAGUGAAGUAGUUUUUUUUUUAAUUACAGUUCAGUUGUAUUUAACUUUUAGGUACAGUAAAAUACAAGUCACCUUUAAGAUGUGCUUGGUACGAUAUAUCAACUUCAGUGACGAUCUUUGUUAACAGAAAGUAUGACUCUAGUGUGAUUUCAUGAUCGCAACAGUCGAAAUGUGAACGAGUGUGUGUUCUCAGCAUUUUGCAGUCACCAGGUGUGUGCAGCUGUUGCUCUCAUCUGGGAGAUUUAAGUGGUAUCAACCAGAGGCCCGGUAACCUUUAAUCCGCUUUAUACAGCUGGAAUUAUAUUGUCGUGACAAAGGGAGCAAUGCAUUCAAAUAAUCACCACCCUCACACACUGCCCCAUAUGUAUUUAUAUUUAUUGCAAAGUGGCGAUUCAAUCUAAAAAACAAAUAACGUGUAUAAGGAAACAUAUCUCAUUAUUAGCAC